rnacentral:rRNA from 1 species
AGUGAACGCUGGCGGUAGGCCUAACACAUGCAAGUCGAACGGCAGCACAGUAAGAGCUUGCUCUUACGGGUGGCGAGUGGCGGACGGGUGAGGAAUACAUCGGAAUCUACUUUUUCGUGGGGGAUAACGUAGGGAAACUUACGCUAAUACCGCAUACGACCUACGGGUGAAAGCAGGGGAUCUUCGGACCUUGCGCGAUUGAAUGAGCCGAUGUCGGAUUAGCUAGUUGGCGGGGUAAAGGCCCACCAAGGCGACGAUCCGUAGCUGGUCUGAGAGGAUGAUCAGCCACACUGGAACUGAGACACGGUCCAGACUCCUACGGGAGGCAGCAGUGGGGAAUAUUGGACAAUGGGCGCAAGCCUGAUCCAGCCAUACCGCGUGGGUGAAGAAGGCCUUCGGGUUGUAAAGCCCCUUUGUUGAGAAAGAAAAGCAGCAGGUUAAUACCCCGCUGUUCUGACGGUACCCAAAGAAUAAGCACCGGCUAACUUCGUG